rnacentral:rRNA from 1 species
CCAAUAGCGUAUAUUAAAGUUGUUGCAGUUAAAAAGCUCGUAGUUGAAUUUCGGGGUCAGUAGGUUGGUCAUGCCACUGGUAUGUACUGGUCGCACUGAUUCCUCCUUCCUGAUGAGCCGUAAUGCCAUUAAUUUGGUGUUGCGAGGAAUCUGGACUGUUACUUUGAAAAAAUUAGAGUGUUUAAAGCAGGCUAACGCUUGAAUACAUUAGCAUGGAAUAAUGAAAUAGGACGUGCGAUCUUAUUUUGUUGGUUUCUAGGAUUGACGUAAUGAUUAAUAGGGAUAGUUGGGGGCAUUAGUAUUCAAUUGUCAGAGGUGAAAUUCUUGGAUUUAUUGUAGACUAACUACUGCGAAAGCAUUUGCCAAGGAUGUUUUCAUUAAUCAAGAACGAAAGUUAGGGGAUCGAAGACGAUCAGAUACCGUCGUAGUCUUAACCAUAAACUAUGCCGACUAGGGAUCGGAUGAUGUUAAUUUUUUAAUGACUCAUUCGGCGCCUUACG